AUAGCUUCCUGUGGGCGAGCCAUAGCUGCGGGGCGAUUUCCGGUGACUUGGGUAUAUAAUGACCAGCUCGCCGCCUCCAUUUCUCUCUUUGUGCGCUGUCGUAUCCGGGAUUGGACUCAGCCAUGGCUUGUCUGCUGACAAAAGAAUACCUGCCUGAAAAUAAGUCUAUGCUUGGGAUCUGCAGUGUCAUGAGACCGCUCAAAGGAUGCAUUGAAAUAUACUACUGAAGCAGACCUGCAGCACAGUGAACAGCCAGUGCAUGGAAAAGGCUGUGGAUAAGAUGUGAAGACUCUGGAACAACUUGAGCUUGUCCGAUGAACUAGAUUAACUUCAGUGCGACAAUGGAAGAAGAGGUCUGCACAACAAUGUAUAUAUUGUGUGUGGCUCCUUCUGUUCAGGAAUUCCUAUGCAGCCAAAUCAUAUUGGAUUGAGAAUAGAUGAAUCCUUUGUACUGGAAUGUACUAUGAAACUGACUUCUGGUUCAACACUUUUUUUGGGGGGAAUAAGGUGCAACACAACUGAGCCACUGCCAUUUGUUUCUUGAAUAUCUACAAAUAUAUGGAGCCUGUUGUACAGGUUUUCUAGAAGAGUGUAUGGCAAGUAAUAACCAUUGCUAAAUGACAAUGGCAGUUCUGCAACACACUGUUGAACCUACACUAGACGCAAAGACUAUCAAGCAACUUGGAAUAUCAUACUAGAAACUAGCACCGCUUUAAAAAAAAAGUGUUCAUGUCUUUGUUUAAAAGAAACUUACAAAUAAAAAUUCAAGCUUCUUUUAAAACA